GCCACGGGGCAACAGCCUCUGACGCCCCUUCUUAUUCCAUUGCGGCAGGAGGAGGCUUGCCCAACAAGAGGCCUACUUACUUUGCCAAGACGUGGCAGGAGCGCAACGACCUAGCCCAAACCUACUUAAACUAAAGGCUUGGCCCGGUCUGAAGGAAGAAUAAAGUAGACCUUGUAGAGAAGCGGAUAGGAGAGGUAGCCUAUAGACUCAAGCGAUCAGCUCGGUUAAAACUCACCCCGUAUUCCAUGUGAGUCAGUUGACUUCGAUUAGACCAGACCGACCCAGAGAGGGAAGGGAAGGAACGUGCCCAGCCCACGAGGGCACCACCAGAUGUUGUAGAUUCACUUACUAAGAAAGAAAAAUAGUAUAUAUAUCAUAGCUGACCGCACCAUGGGCUAGCCCAUACACCCACUGCACGAGUAGAAUACUACUUAGUCAAGUAGAAGGGCCAACCUGAGAGCGAGGCAAGCUGGGAGAAGAAGGGCUGAAACUUACGAUUCGAAGACCAAGUAAGAGACUACUGGGCGUCUCGCAGAGCGACUCUCAACGAGGACGUUGAGACUUUUAAAAUUAAAAAAAAUCUUUUUCUUAAUCCGCCUUUACUAAAGAUCAAGGAGUACACUUGUAUUCCGGCUAAUAAGGGAAAGGUUUUUUUUUCAAAUCCAAGUUUGACUCUGAUUAUAUCCUUAGCGCAAGCGCUAAGUCAGCCCUAAACUAAAGGCCUUAUGUAAUGUAAAAAAACCGAGGAAAAUAACGUCAAGUAGAAAGGAACAAGGUCUUACGGCACGAUCGCUAUAUCUUUUAUUUUUCUUUAUCUCUCCUCUAUAGAAAGAGGGGAUGAUACGUGGCGUGGUAUACCUGAUCGUUUGGUCAACGAGACGUACGUCAGUCGACAUAGCUCCAUUUAGAUUAAUAUAUAUUUAUUUCACUUAGCCCGCCUCUCCCAUGACUUUCCGGACCCGGAUCUGCCCUCGAAAGUCUCUCUGCAUUUUGGGAGCAGAGCAUGCAAAAUCGAGCAAUGAAUCUUAUAAAAAUGAAAAGCCCGGGUAGAAGCACAAGCAAAAGGAUAGAGUAAAAAAGGGGAGGGGGGAGGAGACUCGCCUCAAUACUUCCCACUGGACGAGAGGCGCACCUAACCCACCUACCCACUCAUCAAUCACGGUGUUCAGCUGACUUGCACUGAUAGACCCCUAUUGUCUUGGAAUUAGGCGCCC